ensembl:lncRNA ST7-AS2 ST7 antisense RNA 2
AAACCUUGCAAAGCUCUCCAUUUCACCCAGAGUAAAAGCUGAAAUCCUUACUGUGAUCAAUAAGCCCUGUAUGAUCUUUAAGCUCCCUCCCUUCUCUCCCCUGGGCUUAUUCUGUUCUAUCCACCCAAGAUUCCUUUGCUGUUGCUUGAACACUCCAGACAUACUGCUGCCUCAGGGCCUUUGAAAAUACAUCACAUGACUAACUUUGGCAUCUCCUUCAGUCUUCAGUCACAUAUGCCUUUACAGUGCGAUGGCACUGUAGAAGUGUAGGUGAUAUCACAACUUCCUCAAUUCUUUGACUUGUCACAAUGAGCAUAAAUUACUUUUGUAAUUUUAUAGGACACUCAUGGAGGGAAAUCUAUACACAGAAACACACACACACAGGGAGAAAGCCAUGUGAAGACAGGCAGAGACUGGGGUAAUGCAGCUACAAGGGAAUGUCAGAGAUUGCUAGCAAACACCAGAAGCUGGAAGAGGCAAUUAAGGAUUGCUCCCUAGAGCUUUUAGAGGGAGGACGGCUCUGCCACCUGCCUUGUUCUUGGACUCCUAGCCUCCAGAAUUGUGAGAGAAUAAAUUUCUGUUGUUUAAACUA